rnacentral:rRNA from 1 species
GUUGGUGACCAGCGGAGGGAUCAUUACCGAGUUUACAACUCCCAAACCCCUGUGAACAUACCUUAAUGUUGCCUCGGCGGAUCAGCCCGCGCCCCGUAAAACGGGACGGCCCGCCAGAGGACCCAAACUCUAAUGUUUCUUAUUGUAACUUCUGAGUAAAACAAACAAAUAAAUCAAAACUUUCAACAACGGAUCUCUUGGUUCUGGCAUCGAUGAAGAACGCAGCAAAAUGCGAUAAGUAAUGUGAAUUGCAGAAUUCAGUGAAUCAUCGAAUCUUUGAACGCACAUUGCGCCCGCUGGUAUUCCGGCGGGCAUGCCUGUUCGAGCGUCAUUUCAACCCUCAAGCCCCCGGGUUUGGUGUUGGGGAUCGGCUCUGCCUUCUGGCGGUGCCGCCCCCGAAAUACAUUGGCGGUCUCGCUGCAGCCUCCAUUGCGUAGUAGCUAACACCUCGCAACUGGAACGCGGCGCGGCCAUGCCGUAAAACCCCAACUUCUGAAUGUUGACCUCGGAUCAGGUAGGAAUACCCGCUGAACUUAAGCAUAUCAAUAGCCGGGAGGAAG